rnacentral:rRNA from 1 species
UUUCCUGCCUCGAUACAAUUAUGUCCCUCUGACGAUGACAUGUUCCCGUUCAGUUUCAAGAGGAAACAGUUCCCAAUCAGGCUCAGUUUUGCAAUGACAAUAAACAAAUCACAAGGACAGACAAUACCAAAUGUCGGCAUCUACCUGCCUGAACCGGUUUCUUCACAUGGUCAGUUAUAUGUCGCGCUUUCUAGAGCAACUGCGACAUCAAACAUAAAGGUUCUAACAGGUACACAUGGUGAGAACAAGCAGAAGAAUAAAAAUACCACUACAUGCGACACAUACACAAAGGCAAGACAUACGAAAAAUAUUGUAUACACGGAAGUAUUAACCAAAUAG